UACGUAGGGGGCUAGCGUUGUCCGGAAUCAUUGGGCGUAAAGAGCGUGUAGGCGGUCCGGUAAGUCGGCUGUGAAAGUCCAGGGCUCAACCCUGGGAUGCCGGUCGAUACUGCCGGACUAGAGUUCGGAAGAGGCGAGUGGAAUUCCCGGUGUAGCGGUGAAAUGCGCAGAUAUCGGGAGGAACACCUAUGGCGAAGGCAGCUCGCUGGGACGUUACUGACGCUGAGACGCGAAAGCGUGGGGAGCAAACGGG
rnacentral:rRNA from 1 species